UACAGAGGGUGCAAGCGUUGUUCGGAAUUAUUGGGCGUAAAGCGCGUGUAGGCGGCUUUGCAAGUCGGGUGUGAAAGCCCUCGGCUCAACCGAGGAAGUGCGCCCGAAACUGACAGACUGGAGGGCAGUAGAGGUAGGCGGAAUUCCGGGUGGAGUGGUGAAAUGCGUAGAGAUCCGGAGGAACACCAGAGGCGAAGGCGGCCUACUGGGCUGCACCUGACGCUGAGCCGCGAAAGCCAGGGGAGCGAACGGG
rnacentral:rRNA from 1 species